AUGCUUGCUUCGGCAGCAUUUAUGCUAAAAUUGGAACGAUACACAGAAGAUUAGCGUGAUCCCUGGACAAGGAUGAUAUGAGAGUAUACUCAGAAUGUUUU
rnacentral:snRNA from 1 species